UACGUAGGGGCAAGCGUUGUCCGGAUUUAUUGGGCGUAAAGAGCGUGUAGGCGGCCAAGCAGGUCCGCUGUGAAAACUCGAGGCUCAACCUCGAGACGUCGGUGGAAACCGUUUGGCUAGAGUCCGGAAGAGGAGAGUGGAAUUCCCGGUGUAGCGGUGAAAUGCGCAGAUAUCAGGAAGAACACCCGUGGCGAAGGCGGUUCUCUGGGACGGUACUGACGCUGAGACGCGAAAGCGUGGGGAGCGAACAGG
rnacentral:rRNA from 1 species